UUGCGGUGAUGAGUCAUCUGCGCCAUCAGCGAUGGUUGGGUCCAUUGCGCCUUCUGAUUUCAGAAGAUAAAUCCGGUGCAUCUGAGCAA